rnacentral:rRNA from 1 species
AACGUAGGAGACAAACGUUAUCCGGAGUUACUGGGCGUAAAGGGCGUGCAGGUGGUCUGUUAAGUCUGGCGUGAAAGCUCUCGGCUAAACCGGGAGAGGUCGUUGGAUACUGGCGGACUAGAGGACGGUAGAGGUGUGUGGAAUUCCGGGUGUAGUGGUGAAAUGCGUAGAGAUCCGGAGGAACACCAGUGGCGAAGGCGACACGCUGGGCCGUACCUGACACUAAAACGCGACAGCAUGGGGAGCGAACGGG